rnacentral:lncRNA from 1 species
UGGGCGAGAGCACCAACAGGAUAAGGAAAAACCCGGAGGGGAGGCAUGAGAAGGGCGAGUUCUGCGCUCCUUUGCAGGCCUUGUGAAAAUCCGAGAGAGCCAACGAACAGAGGACGGACGAUGAAGACUCCUGAUGAAAUCUGAGCUCCAGCACCCUCAGCCCCGCCCCAGGCCCGCUGCUGAGUUUCUGUUUCAGACCUCCUCGGGGUGCUGUGGGGGAAUGCGGGAGCAGAAGGGGCCCAGCCCCUGCACCUGUGUGACCAGCUUCAGCGCCGUAUCUGUUUCAUGCUUGAAAGUACAGCCCCUCCCCCCUCCCUCCCACGGUGCCAAGUGCUGGCCCCUAACAGCAUUUCUGGGGGAGACCGGCUGGUCUUUUCCUCCUUGCCCAUCUCUCUCCCGGCGGGACUGUUGAAUGGGCUCCUGCACGUCGCUCUCCUCUUGCAAGGAAGCCUCGCAACAGCCAAAACCACAGUAAUAAACCCAGGACGGACGUUCCCAGUGGGGUCACCUCCUUUGCACAUGCGGCCUCUGUCCUGGACAAGAUGCCAGGACCCCGGGUGGCGUCACAGGACAGAGUCCACGCUGCAGGCGGGUGGAAGUCAUCACAAGUCCUUCGUCAAAGUGCCAGGCCCCGCAACACCUGCUGGUUCUCUUAAAGUUGCUGGCAUAGCUUCAUCUCUGCCGGGAGCCUGCCUGCGCUCCUCCUUCCUGAGUCUGGCUCGGGCUUCUCAUGUUGACUGCAUGCGUUACCUUAAAGGGCUGGCCUUAAACCAGACGGAUGCUGCUCCGUGUGGGUCAUGUCAGAGAUUUUCAAGGGUGCUGGUGAGCUUAUCUGUUUGUGCCCCACAUGUAAGGCCAGCCAGGAAGGUGGUUCUGCCACAGUCUCCAUCGUAUGCACCUCCAGCCUAGCCCUCUGUGGGACUCGGGGGGUGCCGCUGUCCCCAUCUGCAGGUGGGAAAAGAGAAACUGGGAGAGAAACGCAAGGGAAGACCAGCGGGGCUCCGGGGCUGCAGCCAUGGCGCGCCCCGCCCCAGAGCAGGACAAGGCAGCCAGGCCCAGGGCACGGCCCCUCCUGGAACCCGUCCUGCGCUGGCCAAGGGCAGAGGAGGCUCCGGGUGGGGCCAUUAAAA